GCUGCAGGUCAUCGGGGAGUGUGGUUGCCCAGCCAGAACUCUGACGCAUACCCCCUUCGGCCCCUGCCAGCAGAGCUGGACCGCAGCUGGGACUCAGACCGCCGUAGCCACGCCUACCCACGCAGGAAAGUGCGAGACAUGCAAAUUAGAAAUGGCGCUUCA